rnacentral:tRNA from 1 species
GCUUUCGUGGUGUAGUGGUCAGCACGCUCGACGCGUAACCCAGAGUUCCGUAGUUCGAUUCCCGGCGAAGGCG